GAUGAACGCUGGCGGCGUGCCUAAUACAUGCAAGUCGAGCGAACAGAUGAGGAGCUUGCUCCUCUGACGUUAGCGGCGGACGGGUGAGUAACACGUGGAUAACCUACCUAUAAGACUGGGAUAACUUCGGGAAACCGGAGCUAAUACCGGAUAAUAUAUUGAACCGCAUGGUUCAAUAGUGAAAGACGGUUUUGCUGUCACUUAUAGAUGGAUCCGCGCCGCAUUAGCUAGUUGGUAAGGUAACGGCUUACCAAGGCAACGAUGCGUAGCCGACCUGAGAGGGUGAUCGGCCACACUGGAACUGAGACACGGUCCAGACUCCUACGGGAGGCAGCAGUAGGGAAUCUUCCACAAUGGGCGAAAGCUUGACGGAGCAACGCCGCGUGAGUGAUGAAGGUCUUCGGAUCGUAAAACUCUGUUAUUAGGGAAGAACAAAUGUGUAAGUAACUAUGCACGUCUUGACGGUACCUAAUCAGAAAGCCACGGCUAACUACGUG
rnacentral:rRNA from 1 species